rnacentral:lncRNA from 1 species
UAUAAGUCAUACUUCUUUCAACCUUUAGAUAAAAAUUAUCAACUUUAUAUUUUAUAUGUAUAGGAAGUUAUUUAUACGAUUUUAUUUCUAACAUGAUUCAGAUAGAUCCAUCCCAUUUUAUUUUUGUGUGUGGUAUAUUUUAGAAGCUUGGUUCUUUGUAUCAUGUCUCUAACAUGCAUUAACACCAAUAUUUUUUAUUGUCCGACCUCAGAUAGUUGUGAAUUCUACAUAAACUCAAUUAGAAUUGCUUAACAUAGAGUUAAAUAUGUCCCAAAAGGCAUACCAUUCUUGUAAGUGAGAUUGUAAGUCUCUCAUUCUUCAUGGCAUUGUGUGAAGACUUAACCUUUUUUUCCAUUUGUGAGAGCUAGUGACAUACUUGUUGAUUUAUCCAAGUCGGAGCCCUUCUCAUAGGGGAUGUCUUCAUUUAGAUCUUCAUACUUGUGAAUGAAUGGUUGGGUGUUCUCAAAAGAAUGACUUAAAUAGUUGAACUCUUCAUUAACAUUUGAC